rnacentral:tRNA from 1 species
AGGGAUGUAGCUCAGUGGUAGAGUGCUCGCCUGGCUAGCACGUACCUUAGGUUCAAAUCCUUACACUCCUC